UACGGAGGAUCCAAGCGUUAUCCGGAAUCAUUGGGUUUAAAGGGUCCGUAGGCGGCCUUAUAAGUCAGUGGUGAAAUCUCCCGGCUCAACCGGGAAAUUGCCAUUGAUACUGUAGGGCUUGAAUUAUUGGGAAGUAACUAGAAUAUGUAGUGUAGCGGUGAAAUGCUUAGAGAUUACAUGGAAUACCGAUUGCGAAGGCAGGUUACUACCAAUACAUUGACGCUGAUGGACGAAAGCGUGGGUAGCGAACAGG
rnacentral:misc_RNA from 1 species